rnacentral:rRNA from 1 species
GAUGAACGCUGGCGGCGUGCUUAACACAUGCAAGUCGAACGGAAAGGCCCAAGCUUGCUUGGGUACUCGAGUGGCGAACGGGUGGGUAACACGUGGGUGAUCUGCCCUGCACUUCGGGAUAAGCCUGGGAAACUGGGUCUAAUACCGGAUAGGACGAUGGUUUGGAUGCCAUUGUGGAAAGUUUUUUCGGUGUGGGAUGAGCUCGCGGCCUAUCAGCUUGUUGGUGGGGUAAUGGCCUACCAAGGCGUCGACGGGUAGCCGGCCUGAGAGGGUGUACGGCCACAUUGGGACGGAGAUACGGCCCAGACUCCUACGGGAGGCAGCAGUGGGGAAUAUUGCACAAUGGGCGCAAGCCUGAUGCAGCGACGCCGCGUGGGGGAUGACGGCCUUCGGGUUGUAAACUCCUUUCGCUAGGGACGAAGCGUUUUUGUGACGGUACCUGGAGAAGAAGCACCGGCUAACUACGUG